GAUGAACGCUGGCGGUAUGCUUAACACAUGCAAGUCGAACGGACUCUUCGGAGUUAGUGGCGGACGGGUGAGUAACGCGUGAGAAUCUGGCUUUGGGUUCGGGACAACCACUGGAAACGGUGGCUAAUACCGGAUGUGCCGAGAGGUAAAAGAGAAAUUGCCUGAAGAUGAGCUCGCGUCUGAUUAGCUAGUUGGUGAGGGAAAGGCUCACCAAGGCAGCGAUCAGUAGCUGGUCUGAGAGGAUGACCAGCCACACUGGGACUGAGACACGGCCCGGACCCCUCCGGGGGGAAGAGGUGGGGAAAUUGCCGCAAUGGGGGAAGGCCUAACGGAGAAAUCCCGCGGGAGGGAAGAAGGCUCUUGGGUGGUAAACCUCUUUUCUUAGGGAAGAACGAGAUGACGGGACCUAAGGAAUGAGCAUCGGCUAACUCCGUGC
rnacentral:rRNA from 1 species